ACACAUGUGCAGUACGCACCAAAAGGUGGCUUGGGAAGAUCUGUUUUAGACCCCGAGAUGAAAGAAAGAAAUUGAUUACUAAAGCAAAUGUUUAUGGAGAUUCUCAGUCAUCCAUCCAGGUCAUGGUUGUCCCAAAGAUGUUUUGGGACUAAUACUAAAGCAACUUCUCCUAAUCAGGUGCCUUCUGGAUAUGCUGGAUAUCAGCAACAGGCUUGAAAUUCUGAAAAGUCCUGUUGUCUCUGGAUAGAAAGCAUUGGAUUGGGCAAAAGUCUCUUCAUGCCUGGAGAAAGAGAGCUUCAUUGAAAUAAAGUGCAUAAGGGAAGGAACGCAAAGAGAUGAAAAUCGCAAAUCCCAAAGAUCAAGAAAAUGAGAAGAAGGCACCAAGGGAUUGAAAGCUACCUUGAAAGGAAAGUUAUGAAUGAUAGUACGAUAUCACUACUAUAGAUCAGUUUUAUAGCCACAUUCUCCCACCUAAGUGUGUUGGGUCUUGGCUUAAAUGGCUUUAAAAGGUGAUAAAACAAAGUCAUGGAAGAAGGAUCUAGUAAUGUAUUAUAAGUCCUGAUGUUUCAAUGGAACCCCUACAUCCUGAGACAGGGUAGAUUUGAAUGCUAAUUGCUUCAUUCAUUGCUUGUGUAUUUUACAGACCUAGUUGCCCAUUCACUUUCGUCAAAAUUACUGAAACAUUCUUUAGUUCUCAUGCACAUAUUCUUUGCUUUGUACUGAACUCAUAAUGCCAGUUAUGCUAUUUCUUUAUUUUUAUUCCAGUUUGCUCAACUCCUGAGAAGCCGAGUUCUUGGAAAAUUGGAAUAUUCCUUCUUCUGAAGCAGGGCAGUGGGCAUUCUCUGCCAUGCUUCUUGUCUGUCCCUUUCAAGAUUACCAGUCAUUCCCUUUGGGGAUCUAAUAUUCAGCACUGUUAAUACAGGCGUUCAUUUUGAGAGAAGUGCAUUCGUUCAGAUCUACUAACGGGAUUUACUUUCCUUAUAAACAGAAUAUGGCCGGUAGAUAAGGAGGUAACUCACAGAAAAUUCAGAGCAGCCAGAACUGUUUUAAUCAGAAUGGAUGUGCGAGGGAACUUUGGGAGAAAAACUGGAGUAAAAACUGGAAGGGGAGAUUAAGUCAGAGCUUUAUUUGAAGGGGUGAGUGUAAUACUGAGCCAGACAUUUUCUUUGGCAAAUUCUGACUUGAAAUCUUGAGACUGGUGUAAAGAGACCAGACCUAUCCCUGUUCCUCCUGAUAUAAUAAUGCAAAGUGGGAUUAUCACUCGGCAGUAGAGCAAGUACAUGUCGUGCAGAGUCCCAAUUUCCUGAGGUAUGCUACAAAAUUGAAUGCUCACCAACUGAUUUCUUUUCUUCCAAACUGGUGUCCUUUCAAGUCUCUCACACAAAUAUUUCCAUAAAUGGCUAUAAAAAUGCAAAACAACAUAAAAUAAAGGAGUGCAAUAUUACA